rnacentral:rRNA from 1 species
UACAGAGGAGCCAAGCGUUGUCCGGAUUGACUGGGCGUAAAGCGCACGCAGGCGGGGGCGCGCGUGGGGGGUGAAAUCUGGCCGCUUAACGGCCAGGCGCCAUCCCAUACGGCGCGCCUGGAGGGCUGCAGAGGUCGAUGGAAUUGCCGGUGUAGUGGUGAAAUGCGUAGAGAUCGGCAGGAACACCCAGGGGGAAACCAGGCGACUUGGCAGCACCUGACGCUGAGGUGCGAGAGCGUGGGGAGCGAACCGG